CCCCUCUCAGGGCGGCACCUGGAGAGUUUCCAGUACUCUAGCAGUCUCAGCGACGGGAGGGGGAGUCAACCAGGGGCAUACCCAUUCCAUUCCUAGCUUGGGCAGUGGCUAGCGAGUGGAAGGCCAUCUGCUACAAGU